UACGUAGGGGGGCGAGCGUUGUCCGGAUUCAUUGGGCGUAAAGCGCGCGCAGGCGGCUCCGAGAGCCCGGCGUGAAAGCCCCCCGGCUCAACCGGGGGGAGGUCGUCGGGGACCUCGGGGCUGGAGGCCGGCAGGGGCGAGCGGAAUUCCCGGUGUAGUGGUGGAAUGCGUAGAGAUCAGGAGGAACACCGAUGGCGAAGGCAGGUCUCUGGGCUGACACUGACGCUCAUGCACGAAAGCGUGGGGAGCAAACAGG
rnacentral:rRNA from 1 species